GUGCAGGGCAGGGAAGCUCCAGGCAAACAGCCCAGCAAACAGCAGCACUCAGCUAAAAGGAAGACUCACAGAACACAGUUGAAGAAGGAAAGUGGCGAUGGACCUCAUCCCAAAUUUGGCGGUGGAAACCUGGCUUCUCCUGGCUGUCAGCCUGGUGCUCCUCUAUCUAUAUGGGACCCGUACACAUGGACUUUUUAAGAGACUGGGAAUUCCAGGGCCCACACCUCUGCCUUUGUUGGGAAAUGUUUUGUCCUAUCGUCAGGGUCUCUGGAAAUUUGACACAGAGUGCUAUAAAAAGUAUGGAAAAAUGUGGGGAGCUCUUUUGUCUUUCAAUAUCUCUUCCCUGUUUGGACCACAUUACCCUUCAUCAUAUGAAGCCUUGGGUGGCUCCUGUGUGAGACUCUUGCUGUGUGUCACACCCUAAUGAACUAGAACCUAAGGUUGCUGUGUGUCGUACAACUAGGGAACGUAUGAAGGUCAACUCCCUGUGCUGGCCAUCACAGAUCCCGACGUGAUCAGAACAGUGCUAGUGAAAGAAUGUUAUUCUGUCUUCACA
rnacentral:lncRNA from 1 species